UUGUAGGCUGAAAUUCGCCUACAUGAAGCCGGAAUUGCUAGUAAUGGCAGGUCAGCAUACUGCCGUGAAUACGUUCCCGGGCCUUGUACACACCGCCCGUCACACCAUGAGAGUUGGGGAUACCCGAAGCCUGUGAGCUAACUUUUUAAGAGGCAGCAGUCGAAGGUAGAAUCAAUGAUUGGGGUGAAGUCGUAACAAGGUACC
rnacentral:rRNA from 1 species